rnacentral:rRNA from 1 species
AGACCCGAAACCCGGUGAUCUAGCCAUGGGCAGGUUGAAGGUUGGGUAACACUAACUGGAGGACCGAACCGACUAAUGUUGAAAAAUUAGCGGAUGACCUGUGGCUGGGGGUGAAAGGCCAAUCAAACCGGGAGAUAGCUGGUUCUCCCCGAAAGCUAUUUAGGUAGCGCCUCGUGAAUUCAUCUCCGGGGGUAGAGCACUGUUUCGGCUAGGGGGCCAUCCCGGCUUACCAACCCGAUGCAAACUGCGAAUACCGGAGAAUGUUAUCACGGGAGACACACGGCGGGUGCUAACGUCCGUCGUGAAGAGGGAAACAACCCAGACCGCCAGCUAAGGUCCCAAAGUCAUGGUUAAGUGGGAAACGAUGUGGGAAGGCCCAGACAGCCAGGAUGUUGGCUUAGAAGCAGCCAUCAUUUAAAGAAAGCGUAAUAGCUCACUGGUCGAGUCGGCCUGCGCGGAAGAUGUAACGGGGCUAAACCAUGCACCGAAGCUGCGGCAGCGACACUCAGGUGUUGUUGGGUAGGGGAGCGUUCUGUAAGCCUGUGAAGGUGGCCUGUGAGGGUUGCUGGAGGUAUCAGAAGUG